GCCGUUUUAGCUCAGUGGUAGAGCGCGCCCUUGGUAAGGGCGAGGGCGAUGGGUUCGAGUCCCUCAUUCGGCACCA
rnacentral:tRNA from 1 species